rnacentral:lncRNA from 1 species
GUAAUCCACACCAUGCUGACAAGUUGGUGACAGUUGGGAUUAAGCAUAUCAAGUUCUGGCAACAAGCAGGUGGGGGUUUCACCUCUAAAAGAGGAAGUUUUGGAAGUGCUGGAAAGUUGGAAACAAUGAUGUGUGUUUCUUAUGGGCGAAUGGAAGACCUGGUGUUCUCGGGUGCAGCCACUGGAGAUAUCUAUAUCUGGAAGGAUGUUUUGCUACUGAAGACGGUAAAGGCUCACGAUGGGCCUGUGUUCGCUAUGUAUGCCUUGGACAAGGGCUUUGUAACAGGUGGAAAGGAUGGAAUUGUGGAACUCUGGGAUGAUAUGUUUGAAAGAUGCUUGAAGACUUAUGCUAUCAAAAGGGCUGCAUUGUCAACCAGCUCAAAAGGCCUGCUUUUGGAGGAUAACCCUUCAAUUCGUGCAAUCACCCUGGGGCAUGGACACAUUCUUGUGGGGACAA